ACAGGGAGUCCUAGGGAGAAGACUGGCUUCCUAGGGGACUAUAGCAAGCCUAGCAUCUGGGAAAGGGCAGGUGCUAGCAAGGACUGAGCUAAUUCCCAAAAUGCCCAGCAGGAGGUGCUAGUAUGGUAACCCCUGUGUGCAGCACUGUGAAAGCCAGGACCUCCGAGAGAACUGCUGACUUGUUACACCCUAAUUACCUUCAUUUCGGAGGUUGUGAAAUGGAAGCACAUGGAGGGAUUGCAAACAUACCCUACCUCUGACCUGCAACACUCCUUGCUAUUCUAGCCCUGGAUCGCUCAGCUGAUGUCCCACAACUCUGACUUGCAUCAUCCCUUGCUAUUCCUAUCCACUGCCCCUCCCUCACAGAGACUGGCAAUCUUGCCCUAUUGUUCGUUAGAUUUUUGAAGCGAACAAUUAUCCUCUGGGGCCAAGGCUAAAAUUGCCACUUAGCUAGGGAUUUUUAACCUCCUGAGUAGUCCUCCUAAAUGUCAACAAUGUGGUGCCUGGGUUGUAAAAGUGGUGAUGGUGGAUGGCGUUUGCUUUUUAAGGUUGAGAGUCCAGGAAAUCGUGUCUGCAUCCCCAACCGUGAUGCAAUCCUGCUUCAUCUGCUCUGAGCAACUCAAUAUCUGUCUACAUGAGGCAAAUGGAGGCAAAGGUGCAAAAUUCAAGUGCUGAGAAAUUUGGGCAACAUCAGGUAAUGGUGCUGAGAGCACCUGCUGCCCUGCCUGACUACUGAAUGCAAGAAGAUUGGACACCACAUAUAGAAAGCCGGGGAAAUGCAGGAAGAGUCAUAGAUGUUACAAGAUGGAAACCUCUACUGGGCCCUAUUUGCUCUAUCAAGUCCUUGCCAGUCCAGUCUUUCACCAGCCAAUGCAAGAUUGUUCUCUUAUCCAUUUAUCCAACCUAGCUUUACAAGUCCCAAGUGAUGCAUCCACAAGCUUUUCCCUUGGGAAACUGUCUGAGGGAGGGGUCAGGCGCUACUGAGCCAGGAAGCAAGCAGGGGAAUGAUGACUCUGGGACUCCAAAACCAAAGUCACGUGCAGAGGAAAGAGCCAUGGAUGCUCUGCAGCAUGAGGAAUAGGUCUGGGAUAAUAUCAGAAAUCCAUGCAGGAGCUGUAGAGGGGAGAGAGAGAGAGAGGAAGGCAGCUGGGAGGUCAGCAUGGAAAGACACUAGAGAAGAACCAAUGCAGCAGGAAGGGGGAGAAUCGGCCCCCAUGUGAAGCCCAUCAACACUAGGAACUGGCACAGGAGAUCCCAGGUCAGAAAGAUGGGGAAAUGCUUCUAACUUGCACCUUCACAGUGCGAUUCCCUUCUGGGCUUUCCUUGCUGCCUUAGGCUCCUUCAGUUCCCCAGUAAACUCUGAUUUACUUUAACCUUGAAUAAAUGCAAAGAACUGGAAGAGAACAGGUUUGUGGUUUUAAUUGGGUAGCAAUCAGGUUUUGCCCUCUGUGUUGAGAUACCCCUUUUGCUCUGGCUUCUAGGAAAGCCCAUGUAAAAACUAAUCUAUGUCCCUUAGGAAUAAGCC